ACAGCCUACAGCACGAAGCAGAGUUCAUCUCAGCCUGCAGCUUGAUGAGACGACCCUGGAUUCAGGAUCAAUAAAAGCAACAAGGCUGCAUGGAGGAAUCCAGUGGAGCCGCAGUGUUGUCAUGGCAGCACAAAGCUCUCGCGGGGUAAAGAAUCACACGGCUGGACGAGCGACCUGUAGCGACGCCACUUCGCCGCGACAACAAAAAAGACCCGAUUGGCCGGAUCGAACGGGGACAGGUGGUUUUGUUUGGACGCCAUCCGUCUUUGUUACACGGCUCGCUGACACUUUGAGGCCACACGGCAAAUGAGGCGCUGCGAGGAGCAGAAGAUCCGGCUCGGCUCGGACAUUCCCCUGGGCCGGGUCUUUGGAGAACCAGGUCGUUCGGGGUUCGGUGGAGAGUGGACUUUGAAACGGCACCGCACUGCAACAACAUCACAUCAACAAUCAAGACGGGGUCUGUCUCCGAGUGGUCUGAGCAGACUGGGAUGGUCUCAACGGUGGCCAGGGGAAAAGAAAACAAGAGGCUGAGGUCAACGGCUGGGGAAGUGAAAUCUCCAGCCUCGAUUCAGCUCGACAGAGGCGCACAAAGGAGCCUGUAUGUGUGGAUCCUCUUUGGAGAGGACAGAGAUUAUGACCUUGUCAAAUA